rnacentral:lncRNA from 1 species
GGGGGGAGAGUUUUUUUCAGAUUUUUUUGUUUUGAGGGAUGAAAUGAUUUUUUUUUGCAAAAAUUUUGACUUAGUAUGAAACGGCGCUGUUUUGGGCCUAAGCUUCUGACUCCAAAACGGCGUCGUUUUGAAGCAGAGCCCGACGACCCGACCCGAUUUGUUAGAGGAUCUACGCUUUUUUUAUCCAAUGGGUUAUUUGCGGUCCUAACCCUUCCGCCUUUUAU